rnacentral:snRNA from 1 species
UUGUUUAUCUGGAAGGGGAGACACCAUGGUCAUAGAAGGUGGAUUUUCCUUGAUGAGGCUAAUUCUUUGCAUUCCAGAUGUGCUGAUCCCUGUAAUUUCCCCAAAUGAAGGAAUCUCAGCUGCCUUUUUUUGGUAGAAGGAGAUUGUUUGCACCCUCCCC